rnacentral:lncRNA from 1 species
CUUUGUUAAUUGUGAAACAGACUGCUCUGGUUUUAGUUGUGUCACCUACAAUGGCUUCUCUUGUUUCUUCCCCGUUUACUCUGCCAGCUUCCAAGGCUGACCAGCUUUCUUCUCUUUCCCAAAAACACUUCUUUCUUCACUCAUUUCUUCCCAAGAAAAUCAACAACCUUCCCAACUCAAAAUCUUCAUUGAAAGUAAAAUGUGCAGCAAUUGGGAAUGGCCUUUUCACUCAAACCACACCAGAAGUUCGUAGAAUUGUGCCAGAAAACAAAAACAAUCUCCCCACUG